GUGGAGCAUGGCAGGGAGGGCUCCUAGCAGCUGCUACUACUGUAGGCUCCAUCAGUAGGCACUGAGGGAAGGGUGGGGCACAUCUGAACCUGGGACGCACGUGACACAGGAAAGAGGGGACGGGGACAGGAGAAGAGAGGGGAAUUCCGGGGUGAGAAGGGAGUUAACUGGGUAGGGCAGAGGAGUAGGCAGAACCCAUUUCUGGACUUGGGCACAGAGCCAUGGCCACAGGGCAAGUGGUCACAAGUCUAGACAUUCAAGUGCAAAGCCAGGGCUGUGUCUGUCCUCUCCCUUGGAGCAGACCGUGCCCUAACAUCAGUAGCCCAGGCAGUUCCCUUCAUAAGGGAAGGGGCUGCUAGGAGACUGCUGAGGCUGGGCUCAGGAGGUCUCUGCAGAGGCAGUGCCUGAAAGGAAGUGAGGGAGAUGAUGGCUCGUUGUCAAAUAUGUACUUCAUGCCCUUAAGCCAGGCUGCAUGGCUCGCAAGGCAUUUCAUCUCUGAGCUGUCACCGGGAAAGAGAUCCAACUUUCAGGGAGAGGAUACUGAUGAGGCAACAGCGGCUCAGAUGGAAGGACAGUCAAGCUGGAGGGGACCUAUGAGGGAAGUGGCAGUGUCAAGACAGGUCUCUUCCCUGUCCCUAGCAGCAUGUGGCCCUGAGUGCUCUCCUGGUUUUUUCUCUGGGCUCAUCCUCUGACUUUUCUGGGAAGCCCGCCCUGGUUGCUCCAGCCCACAUGGUUUUUUUCCAUCAAUUUCCCCAAUUCAGACCACUCACUGGCUACUCCCUGUGUGCAGAAGCCUUGUGACACCUCUGGAAAUGUAUGUGGUGAUUCCUUUCCUAGCUACAUAAACAGAGGCAAAUGACUUGACUUUGGCCCUGUCUAUAGUAGCUGCUCAAAUGUUUGGAGUUUGACAGUCUUAACCCAGAGCAAUUCAUCCUAGAGAGAUCAGGGGUUCUGAGCAGACCUGUUCCAGGAGACUCCUCCACUUUGUUGCCGGAUUGGAGGCAUAAGCAAAGGAAUAACGGAGUGUCCGCCCAAUCUGCUCUCUCACCGUGAAGUCUUGUGGUGACCCUGGCCCCUGGUUCAAGUCUGUAUUAGUCUUUCUGGGAGUACUGGGAAGAAAAUAUCCGUGCGAUCCUGCGAGUUUCUUCCUCAGGCAAGUUGGGAGGCAGCGAGUUGGGUCUGGGACGACAAGGCCUUCUGGACAAGACUCUGCUGGAGGCCUCACUCUUAUCCUGAAAGAAGAAGAAGUCAGCUAGGUUCCUGCCCUGGAGCAGCUCAAAGCUAUACAAAAAAGCCAACCCAGGCAGCCAGUUGACAGGAAGAGGCAGUGCUAAAAGGAGAUGGGAGUCGCCACCACAGGGCUGCUCAGGCUAGAGGGGAGAAGAAGAUGCCAACCCACCCAACAAUCACAGAGAUGAAGCUUAGAACUCAGAAGCAUGGAGAAGGGAGCAAUUCAUGACAGCCAGGAUGGACAGGGGAGGCUUCAUACAGAGGUCUACUAUGAAGGUGAAAUGAAAUUCAUAUGUGACCAAGGGUCUGGUCGGUUACAUCUUGCAAAACACCUGCUACAGAGAGGACUUGCUGUUCUCAGACCUCACCCGGGCAGAGUAGAAGUAAGGAACAACAGCACCUGGCCCCAUGCCUGUGGUUCGUCCGGGAACUUGUUCCUGCUGUGUGGAGAGCCUGGCCUUGGCAGGAGGGCACAGAACAAGAAAAGGCCCAUCUCACAGUAAAGAAGUGCUGUGCAGGCAGGCAGGGAGGCCAAAACUCAGACGACAGGGAAGUUGAUAAAACUAAUUUACCCACAAGCAGCAAAGCAAACAGAAUCAGACGUAACUUUCAAUAAAACCAGGAAGCUGUCCCAGUGAAGAGGUCCUUGAUCAUGGGAGGUAAGAGAAAGCAGAGGCAGCAGAACUUGACCAAUGCACAAGUACUACGACACUGCCGCUGGCUGGCGUGCAGCAGUCCUGCUCAACGGCCACCCACCUCCUCCUCUCCUGAAAGCGGCGACAGCCGGAAAGGAGGCAGUCACAAGAAGCAGAGCUAAGGGUCGGCCUCUGUUCCCUAUCUCUGUGGCACUUGGUAUUCUAUAAUCUCCCUGUGAGGCCCGAUAACCCCAUCUGACAAGUGAGGAAGGAAACAGACUCAGCAAGAUCAGACUUGACUAAUGUCACAGAGACCUGUAACUACUACACCGUUGGGGAAGGGGUGGAAAAAAACCCUGUUUCACAAAAGCUGGACGUGUUUCUGAGCAGAAACCUAGAGCCACGUUUCUGGGCUCUAGGGCGUCAUUUCAACGUGAAGUGAAGGAUCAGGCCUUCCCUUAGAGCUUGUGGUGAGGCCAGAACAGUUGAGCCAGUGCUUGCAGAGUCUCUCCUCCUGUAGGGACGGGUUGCUUGCCUGGCCCUGAAGCAGGUUAGCUACAGUGCAGCAGUCCUAGGACACUGGUUGAGAAGAGCCCAGCAGCCUCUCAAAAUGCUCCCCUUCAACCUUCAGGGCCAAGGCUAGCCUUAGGAGGAGGCAGAACAGAUGACAUUCUCAAAUGAGGGUAUAGGACAGGGUUGCUGCCCUUCUGUCCCUAACUCUCACUUUUACUGUUGACAGGCCUGAGACAUUACAAAAAACAGAAGACAAGAGACAAGAAGAGAAAACAGAUGGGCACCUGGGUGGCUCAGGUUAACAGAAUCAACCUAAGAACUAAAACAUUGCUAAUAUUGUUGUAUAGACCUGUGUUCUUCCUCCCCUAUCCUACCCCUGCCUCCACAACUACGAACAUUGUAGUCAAACUGUUAAAAGGUCACAUUACCAUUCUGGGCAGCAGUAAGAAUGAUGCCUGCUUCUCAUCAGAAACAAUGUAAGUCAGAGUGUGGAAUGAUCGCUCUAAAAUGCUAAAACAAAAUUCAAGUUGGAAUUCUAUAGCCAGUGGGAAAAAAUAUCCUUGAAAAAUGAAGGCAAAAUAAAGAUAUUUUCAGACAAUUGAAGCUGUUGCCAGUAGGUCUGCAGUACAUGAAAUUCUAAAGGAAGUUCUUUGUGCUAAAAGGAAAUGAUCCUGGCUGGAAAUCAGGAUGUGAAGAAGGAAUGGAGAAUACCAGCAAGUAUGUGGGCUAAUAUGAACGUCUGGUUUUUGUCUUAAAUUCUUCAAAGAGGCUACUCUGAAGACCUUCUGAGACCAUAAGCUGAGAUUAUGGGGCUCCUGCCUAAGUAUAAUUCAUAAAUAGAUGUAAAAUAAACCAUAAGUGUAGUGAAGUUAAAGUUCUGACUUAUCCCAUGGUAACUAUUUCAAUGCUUUCAAAAAUAAAUGUAAUUCUUAAUAUUUUUUUCCCUUAACUUUUGGUGCCUCUACUUGCUAGUCUUAAACACGAACUUGAUUUGAUUCUUAGGUUAUCCAGCACUGGGCAGCAGCCAGCCAGAGCACAAGACUCGGAAAAUAUGCAUUCAGUAGUGACAGGUCAUUGCUAGUGAGGACAACCAGCCUCCUGAGGUGUCCUGGGACUUUUAGUGCUGAAAUGGCCAGUUUUGAGUGUGAUGAUUAGUUACCCUAAGCAAGACCCAGUAUGAGGUCCUGAGGAGAGAAGAGCCCUGAGAACAGCAGAUAAACAAUGGAGUUUUGCUGUGACUAAGAAAGAGAAACAACUGAAAAGUAUUUAAGACUUACAUUCUCAAAACUAGACUCGCCCUUUAAUUGAAGUGAAGAUUCUUAUUUCUCCCUCUCCCACACUUGUGUCU